CGGGCUUGAAUUGCAGGAGAACGAUUGAGAGAUCAUGAGGUCCUUCGGGACUCCUGUGAAGGUGCUGCAUUGUUGUCGUCAGCUCGUGCCGUGAGGUGUCGGCUUAAGUGCCAUAACGAGCGCAACCCUUGCUGUCAGUUGCCAUCAGGUAAUGCUGGGCACUCUGACGGGACUGCCAUCGCAAGAUGUGAGGAAGGUGGGGAUGACGUCAAAUCAGCACGGCCCUUACGUCCGUGGCUACACACGUGUUACAAUGGGGGGUACAGAAUGUUGCUGGCGUGCGAGCGUUGGCCAAUCACGAAAUCCCCUCUCAGUUCGGACUGGAGUCUGCAACCCGACUCCACGAAGCUGGAUUCGCUAGUAAUCGCGCAUCAGCCAUGGCGCGGUGAAUACGUUCCCGGGCC
rnacentral:rRNA from 1 species